rnacentral:rRNA from 1 species
ACGGCAGCACGAGAGAGCUUGCUCUCUUGGUGGCGAGUGGCGGACGGGUGAGUAAUAUAUCGGAACGUGCCCAGUAGCGGGGGAUAACUACUCGAAAGAGUGGCUAAUACCGCAUACGCCCUACGGGGGAAAGGGGGGGAUCGCAAGACCUCUCACUAUUGGAGCGGCCGAUAUCGGAUUAGCUAGUUGGUGGGGUAAAGGCUCACCAAGGCAACGAUCCGUAGCUGGUUUGAGAGGACGACCAGCCACACUGGGACUGAGACACGGCCCAGACUCCUACGGGAGGCAGCAGUGGGGAAUUUUGGACAAUGGGGGAAACCCUGAUCCAGCCAUCCCGCGUGUAUGAUGAAGGCCUUCGGGUUGUAAAGUACUUUUGGCAGAGAAGAAAAGGCAUCCCCUAAUACGGGAUGCUGCUGACGGUAUCUGCAGAAUAAGCACCGGCUAACUACGUGCCAGCAGCCGCGGUAAUACGUAGGGUGCAAGCGUUAAUCGGAAUUACUGGGCGUAAAGCGUGUGUAGGCGGUUCGGAAAGAAAGAUGUGAAAUCCCAGGGCUCAACCUUGGAACUGCAUUUUUAACUGCCGAGCUAGAGUAUGUCAGAGGGGGGUAGAAUUCC